rnacentral:rRNA from 1 species
CCUACGGGUGGCAGCAGUGGUGAAUAUUGCACAAUGGGCGAAAGCCUGAUGCAGCGACGCCGCGUGAGUGAAGAAGUAUUUCGGGUUGUAAAGCUCUUUCAGCAGGGAAGAAAAUGACGGUGCUUGACUAAGAAGCCGCGGCUAACUACGUGCAAGCAGCCGCCGUAAUACGUAGUGGGCAAGAGUCAUCCGGAGUUACUGGGUGUAGAGGGGGCGUUGACGGCGAAGCAAGUCAGAAGUGAAAACCAAGGGCUCAACCCGUGGUCUGCGUUGGAAACUGUUUUGCUUGAGUGUUGGAGGGGCAAGCGGAAUUCCUAGUGUAGCGGUGAAAUGCGUAGAUAUUAGGAGGAACACCAGUGGCGAAGGCGGUCUGCUGGACGGCAACUGACGCUGAGGCGCGAAAGCGUGGGGAGCAAACAGGAUUAGAUACCCCAGUAGUC